rnacentral:rRNA from 1 species
UGGGGAGUAUUGCACAAUGGAGGAAACUACUGAUGCAGCGACGCCGCGUGAGUGAAGAAGUAUUUCGGUAUGUAAAGCUCUAUCAGCAGGGAAGAUAAUGACAGUACCUGACUAAGAAGCCCCGGCUAACUACGUGCCAGCAGCCGCGGUAAUACGUAGGGGGCAAGCGUUAUCCGGAUUUACUGGGUGUAAAGGGAGCGUAGACGGAACGGCAAGUUUGAAGUGAAAUACCCGGGCUUAACCCGGGAACUGCUUUGAAAACUGUCGAUCUAGAGUGUCGGAGAGGUAAGUGGAAUUCCUGGUGUAGUAGUGAAAUGCGUAGAUAUCAGGAAGAACACCGGAGGCGAAGGCGGCUUACUGGACGAUAACUGACGUUGAGGCUCGAAAGCGUGGGGAGCAAACAGGAUUAGAUACCCUGGUAGU